CUGUGUUUGUAUGCAUAAGGGAUGCAAGGUGUGUGUCUGUAGUGUGUGUGUGUGUGUGUGUGUGUAUGAAAUGCAUUGUGUUUCUGUGUAUAUGUAAGAGAAGCAGUGUGUCUGUUUGCAUUGUGUGUUUCUGUGUGUGUGCAAAGGAUGCAUUGUCUUUGUGUGUAAUGGAUGCAUUGUGUGUUUCUCUGUGUGUGUAGGGAUGCAUUGUGUGUUUGUGUUUGUGUAUGUAUAGGGAUGCAGUGUGUGUGUGUGUGUGUGUGUGUGUGCGCGCGUAGUGUGAAAGAGCUCCCUG